rnacentral:rRNA from 1 species
GAUGAACGCUGGCGGCGUGCCUAAUACAUGCAAGUCGAGCGAACAGACGAGAAGCUUGCUCCUCUGACGUUAGCGGCGGACGGGUGAGUAACACGUGGAUAACCUACCUAUAAGACUGGGAUAACUUCGGGAAACCGGAGCUAAUACCGGAUAAUAUAUUGAACCGCAUGGUUCAAUAGUGAAAGACGGUUUUGCUGUCACUUAUAGAUGGAUCCGCGCCGCAUUAGCUAGUUGGUAAGGUAACGGCUUACCAAGGCAACGAUGCGUAGCCGACCUGAGAGGGUGAUCGGCCACACUGGAACUGAGACACGGUCCAGACUCCUACGGGAGGCAGCAGUAGGGAAUCUUCCGCAAUGGGCGAAAGCCUGACAGAGCAACGCCGCGUGAGUGAUGAAGGUCUUCGGAUCGUAAAACUCUGUUAUUAGGGAAGAACAAAUGUGUAAGUAACUAUGCACGUCUUGACGGUACCUAAUCAGAAAGCCACGGCUAACUACGUG